CCCUAUGGGCAGGCGCGUGUAGGAAGCCGCAAGGCUUGCCGUGUCUGAUACCACGGUCCGCCAACCCGCACGUUUCUUGCCCACCUCA
rnacentral:antisense_RNA from 1 species